UUUUUGCUGAAAACAAAGUUGCAGAGAGAAGAAUGGCUUGAAGGGAGGAGUGGUACAUCGAGCGCAAUAGAUGAGAAGGCUUGGUCUGAACUUUGGAAGAUCCCAGUGCCCUCCAAAAUCAAGAUUUUCCUGUGGAGGUUGGGUCGCCACUCGUUGCCUACCACGGAUGUUUUACACCACCGAAACAUGGCAGUUCAGAAUGUGUGUCCGUUGUGUGGGCAUGCACCGUUAUCAUGUGCGGUGUCUAGGUGCGUUUGGGCACUGUCGGAUGGUGAUCUUGUGGUGAAGAUGGCUGCAGUUGCAGAUUCGAGCGCCAAGAACUGGAUGUUUGAACUAUCUACUCUGUUGGACCAUCCGAGCUUCACUAAGAUGGUUGUGACGUUGUGGGCAAUCUGGUACGCAAGGCGUAAAGCAAUAUAUGAGGGGAUUUUUCAAAGCCCACACCAAACCAUAUCCUUUGUGAACAAUUAUAUUGCAGAGCUUGAACAACUUACUGCCACUAAAAGGGAAGUAGCGGCGCCGAGUGAACAGCAAGUUAGUCCACAGAGAUGGUUGGUUCCGUCUAAUGGAGCUUCUAAGUUAAAUGUUGAUGGAGCUGUUGCCAGGAACUGGCGGGGAGGUGCGGUUGCAGCCCUAUGCCGCGAUAGCAGUGGAAUCUAUCUAGGAGCUUCGGCGGUUGUGUACCUGGGCAUCACGGACCCAACGAUCCUUGAGACAUACGCGUGCAGAGAAGCUCUCGCGUUGGCGGAAGACCUGGCAAUUCAGAAUUUGAUUGUGGCCUCGGAUUGCCAAGGAGUCAUCAAUGACAUCAACAUGGGGACAAGAGGGCCUCAUGCUGCUAUCAUCCAUGAAAUAAUAGCUCGUAGGAAUAGUUUUCCUUCUUGCGGUUUUGUUUUUGAGCGUAGAAACUAUAACUUUGAGGCUCACAAUCUCACAAAGUUUGCAUGUAAUCUAGGUAUAGGUAGACAUGUCUGGUUGGGUCUUCCUUAUGACCCAAUUCGUGUAUCUAUGGAUAUCACUUUGAAUCAAUAA
rnacentral:rRNA from 1 species